AAGGGAUUGACAGAGAAGUUCUGCCUAGCCACCAACUGUUACAAAGAGUCCAUGCCAGCACUGGCAAUGCCGCACACGUUCAUGGACAGUAAGCCCAAGCAGCCUGGUCUAGCCCGAGAUUAUCCUGCCAUCCACGUAGCUUCAAUGAAACCAAAGCGAUCA